AUAAAAGGGCUUUGCUGAAAGCUUUCGUGGAGUUCUGGAUUUUUAAGGCAUCUGGAGCUCCUUCAGGGCAAAGACCAUGAUUGAUUCACCCAGCAAAGCAUGUGGUAUCCAGGAUAGUGUUUGACAGCAGUGGAUAUUUAACUCUACGUAAAAGCGAUAAGGUCUGAUCCUUUUGAAAACAAGCACGCACACGUUAAAAGCAGUUCACAUCCUGAGGAACCUCUGUUAUAUACCACAUGUGUGUAACAACAGCCCUGCCUGGGCCGUCCUCCAGCUUGGGGGGUGGCCCCGCA